rnacentral:rRNA from 1 species
CCCUUAGAUGUUCUGGGCUGCACGCGCGCUACACUGAUGCGCUCAACGAGUUUACGACCUUGCCCGGAAGGGUUGGGUAAUCUUUUUAAAACGCAUCGUGAUGGGGAUAGAUUAUUGCAAUUAUUAAUCUUUAACGAGGAAUUCCUAGUAAGCGCGAGUCAUCAGCUCGUGCUGAUUACGUCCCUGCCCUUUGUACACACCGCCCGUCACUCCUACCGAUUGAGUGAUCCGGUGAAUAAUUCGGACUGCAGCAGUGUUCAGUUCCUGAACGUUGCAGCGGAAAGUUUAGUGAACCUUAUCACUUAGAGGAAGGAGAAGUCGUAACA